rnacentral:ncRNA from 2 species
UUAUCCAAGCAGGGGGACUACAGUGUAGUUGAGAAGGUAAAACCUGACCCUUUGAACCUGUUGGCUAAUACCAACGUAGGGAGCUGAAAGAUACGAUAC